rnacentral:lncRNA from 1 species
GAAAUACACACACAGUGUGCAGUAAAAAUGAAGGAAAGGAAGUAACUUGAGCAAGUAGAUUAAUACAAAUAAAUCCUCAAUAGUCCAUGCUGAAAUUUGUUUCUGUUCUUCUUUUCAGUGUAUUCCUGCUUAUGUAAACGAGAGCUUUCUAGAAGAGAUAAUGGUUAUGAACACUGGCCCUUAACCAAGAAACAGAAGUUGAAUGAACUGCGGGAAGAUAAACUUCACUUUGCUGUGAUUUCAGAACUGAUAUCAGCAGGCAGUUGUCUAAAAACUAUAUUUGUUUUCCUAAUCUGCUACUUUUCACGACAAUUAUAUUUGUGGUGUCUUCCCUCUGUCACCCUCAGACUGCCCUCCCGUGACUAGCCCCUGAUACUUCAGUUUCACAGCGACCAUCCUGGCGCAGCACAGGGAGCGGUGAACGAUGAGACCCGGCAUUUGGUCAUUCUCAGGUCCAGGUGAUGUGGACUCGUCUUUUCUCUGCAUUUUAUAUAUUCUCUUCCAACUGAAGAACCCUCAUGCACACCUUUUAGAUCAGAGUACCGUCCGUCCUCUUAGGCCUCAGGAUUCAACAGCUUCCUGUGCAGGAAGACUCCACCAUCCUCCGUUUUGAACACGAGCGUUUCCACGCAGCACCAUGAGCUGGACAGAUGCAUGUGACCACAGAAGAUAAUCUGAAGGAACACCAAUGUGAAGAGAAAAGUGAGAUGAAAAUGAAAUGAAGCUGUUAAGCCAGCACAUUAAUUCAAGUUGACUUCUCUAACUGGUGGGCCGGGGGAGUCUUAAGAGAAGCCAGAGAGAAGGAAUUCCAAUCUUCAAUACUCCAGCAUUCCCGGGUGAUGCUUUGGCUUGAGGUUAAAGAAGUCAGAGUGAACUGAGGGGAGAACAUAGACUUUGGGGACCCCUGAGUAGGUGAACACUGGUCUGACUUUGUGCAAAUGGAUGGAGACAUCUUGUCACUCCUUGAAUGUCCGUGUAAAACCCAUCUUCAGGAAGAACAAGCAGGGCUUUCUGCUGCAUAUCAGCAACGCCCCUAUGUAGUUAAACCUCACUGCUCCCAUUCAUCCCUAGAUUUUCUACCGCAUAAUAAGAACAUUUCUAAACUUUCAAAUACUGACUUCUUGUGAUGUCUAUAUUGGCCCAUACCGACAAGGAGGACCGGCAUAAGUAAAACGUAUAGCUGUGUCCUUUACUUGGAAGAUAAGAUUGUGGCAAUGGCCAAAUUAACACUAACAAGGUGCAUGUGAUGAGAACAUGCCCCCAUCCUUUAUCACAGCCCAGUGCAUACCUUGGAAAUACCUUACAUUUUAAAACAUACGGCAGAGUAUCCUUGGCUCAAAAUUUAAAAAACAAGCUUAAAGACAACCAGCUAAUUUUCUUACUAAUUGCCUAACUGUAACACUUAUGAUAUCAAUAGGCUUAGCAACUAUAGUACACCACUUCAGGUCACAUUUUAUAUGUAAAAAAAAAUAUUCGUUGACUAAAGUUGUUUUUUUCUAGGCCUGGUUAAUUGUUGCCAUCCUCUGUGUCUGUGAGCCCUUCGUGACUUACAUAACAAAUGUGAUUAAUCUGUGUGCCUAUUAAUUAAAAUGCCAUGUAUGUAGUCUCUUUGUUCAGGGAUUUCAAACUUUCUCUCUUCUAUAGGAUAGUUAAUAUAUAAAGUACAUUAAGGGAUUCGCAAUUACCAUUUAAAACUCAUUAUUGGCAGUGUUUAUCAGCAAUACAAUGAAGUUAUAAAGGCAUCUAUGUGCUUCUUUUACUAUCCAGCUUUGUGCAGUUGUCUGUAAAAACAAAUUCUCCAGAUUUAACAAGGAAAAUUUCAUUGCUAAUUAGAUUUAGAAAAGAGCCUGGAAACUAAUGGAAAAAAUGAAUUUAAUGGAGGGGGCAAUUAGUCCAAAACUAUCCAUAAAAUCUUUACUGCUACCAUGUAAGGUAUAGUUUUCAGUUUAAUUUUCUAUAAUGUUUGUUAAACAUUGCUUUCAAUAAUGUAUAAGUGAGUACAAAAGUAACUGGUGGGGAAAAGCAUGGAAUGGACUUCUCAUCUAUGUGGAAAGAGUGCCCUCAUAUUUGUGUAUAUUUUAGAGAAUUUACACUUAUUAUCCUGUAAUUUAAAGAUUUUUAUCAUAGUAUUUGGUAGAAAAGUCUAUAGUUUUGAAAUGAGUGGCACGGCACUUUGGCAGUAGAUGGCACUGUCGUCAUUUCCUAACAACGCGGCCGAGGCCCACAGGAGCUCGGGUUCCCUCCAAGAAGGGGACAGAAGCUACCAUCCAAGAAUCACUCUUGAAAGUCAUUAUUAAUUUGAAACGGCAUCAAAGUUUCAUUCUUCUGCCACUCUCAGUUUUAAAAGAACAAAAUUUCCCUCACACCUUUGCUAUUAUCUGCUCCAUUGGUGGAGCCUAGAAUUCUUUGGUGUGUAAUGAUUUUCUUUUACGUGAUUUUGGGGCUUUUGCUGGCACAACAGAACAAAGUCUUACAGAAAUGACACUGAGGAAAAUCUCUCUCUUCAGGAUAAGGAUAAUGAUACUCUUUAUUCAUCUUUGAUGUGUAUUAUCCGUUUUCAAUAGCAUUGCAUGUAUAACAUACCAGGGCCGUAAGGUCAGAGUCGACCCAGUUUUCAUUAGGAAGAUGAUCUGUAUUUACAUUUUGUUACAAAUUACUGAAAUUACCACCCACCAGCUUUUUCAUCAAUCUGAAAUCCAUUUACCGCUACUUUUUAUGCUAAAACAAAUAAAACAGUAAUAGCAACGAGAACA